AUGCUUCUCCUAGAAGCUGUCGUCUUCUCUUCCCUCUGGGCUUUUGGCUUUGGUCAGUUAAAAUUGGAACAACCAAAAAUAUCAAUUUCCAGCAUAAGAUAUCAGGAUGCCAUCAUAUCUUGUCAGGUGUCCUCUAACAAUUUUGAUAAUGCAUACAUACACUGGUACCGACAGAAACUUGGUCAGAAUAUAGAACUUCUAAUAUAUGUCGUCUCAACAAAAAACGUUGCUCAGCGUCAAGUAGACGGGAAGGAAAAACUUAAAGCCAGUAAAGACUCUCAUGCUUCCACUUCAACCUUGAAAAUUAUUUAUGUAGAAAAAGAAGAUGAGGCUACGUACUACUGUGCCAGCUAUAGUUCAGGAUGGAUCAAGAUAUUUGGAGAAGGGACUAAGCUCACAGUAAUUCCUCCUGAUUACAAAUUCGGCAAAGGCUUUCCCCCUAAGCCCACAGUUUUUCUUCCUUCAGUCACUGAAAAGGAAGUGGAUGGGACCGGAACAUAUAUCUGUCUCCUUGAAGAAUUUUUCCCUGAUGUUAUUAAGGUAGACUGGAAAGAAAAGAAUGGCAACAAAAUCCAACAGUCGCUGCAGACAAGGCCCAUAGUGACUGGUGAUAAUAAGUACAUGAAAUUAAGCUGGUUGACGGUGACUAAAACAUCAAUGGAUAAAGAACACGUUUGUGUUGUCAAACAUGAGUUUAAUAAUGAAAACAAUGACCAAGAGAUUGUUUUUCCUUCAAUAAAUGAAGAAGGUGAUCUUGAAGUGAUAAGAGAUGAAAGUGGGCUACUGCAGAUUCAGCUCAACUAUAUCACUGCCUAUUACACCUACGUCCUCCUCCUUCUCAAGAGCAUGGUCUACUUUGCCAUCAUCGCCUUCAGUCUGUUCAGUGCAGGAGUCUGGAGCUAUGGAAAGAGUCCAUAACAAGUGGCCAAAGUCUUCAACAUUUGCUAC